rnacentral:lncRNA from 1 species
ACAAAAACCAUGAUUUGGCAAAAUACUAUGAUUGAGCAGAAGUACUAAGAUGUAGUAAAAGUACUUUGAUUUAACAGAAAUACAAUUAUAGAGGAGUAAUACUCUAAAAUGGGAGAAAUAUUGAUACACACACACAUACACAGAGCCUAAAGGGAAGAGUAUUUGUGCCAUGGAGUGUUAACAAGAAUCUGAGGUCAAUAUUAGAAAAGCUGCUAAAAUCAUAAAAGUUUGCAGAAUUGUAGUAAAUGAUCAAUAUGAAUUAGUGGUCUGUGACAGUGUAGUAAAUUGUAGGUAAAAAAAAACAUGUUGACCAAGGUGGAAUUGAACCCACGACCUUUGGGUUGCAGACCUGUGUCAUCACAAACUGUGCCACUGGGAAAGAGAACGAGCACCUGGAAAACAGGGUGAUGAACUGUCAGAUUUAGAUCGCGGUGAGAGGCAAAGAGCGCCGUUUUUUGGAGUUACAAAACGUCAUGUAACUCAAAAACUAGGUGGACUAGAAUUCUUAUACUGGGUGAAUCAGCGGACUUUGGUGUACUUUGACUGUGAUUUGCAUUGCUCUUUGUACAUCCGUCGCUGAGAUAUGACGAGAGAAGAAAGGGCAGACCUCAGAUAUGAUUGGCUGGCUGGGAAGCCGUGCAGGCCCUGAUACGAAAAUUUGAAUGUCUCAGUCCUCACAGAGGACCUGGCAAAAAUAUAUAGAAAUAGUAUGAUUAAGCAUAAAUACUACAUUUAGCAGAAAUACUGUAUUAAGCACAAAUCGUAUAAAAAGCAAAAAUACUAUAUUAAGCAAUAUAAAAUCCUAUAAAAAUCCUAUGAAAAGCAAAAAUACUGUACUAUGAUUUGGUAGAAAAACUAUAAUUAAUCAGAAAUACUAUAUUUGGCAGAAAUACUAUAUUUAGCACAAAUCUUAUAAAAUAGCAGAAAUAGUAUGAUUCAGCACAAUAGUAAUAACUUAAACCGAAACAUUGGAAAAGCAAAAUGAACAGUUGAAAAAAUGCUGAACAUGCUAAGGGUCCCUCAAAUGUAAUUGUGAAAUGAAAAAAAAUCAGCAAAAAAAAGUAUA